AUUACAGCAGCUACACAUGCAAGUCGAGCGGUAACAGAGCUAGCUUGCUACCCGCUGACGAGCGGCGGACGGGUGAGUAAUGCAUAGGAAUCUGCCCGGUAGUGGGGGAUAACCUGGGGAAACCCAGGCUAAUACCGCAUACGUCCUACGGGAGAAAGGGGGCUUCGGCUCCCGCUAUUGGAUGAGCCUAUGUCGGAUUAGCUAGUUGGUGAGGUAAUGGCUCACCAAGGCAACGAUCCGUAGCUGGUCUGAGAGGAUGAUCAGCCACAUCGGGACUGAGACACGGCCCGAACUCCUACGGGAGGCAGCAGUGGGGAAUAUUGGACAAUGGGGGCAACCCUGAUCCAGCCAUGCCGCGUGUGUGAAGAAGGCCCUCGGGUUGUAAAGCACUUUCAGCGAGGAAGAACGCCUAGUGGUUAAUACCCAUUAGGAAAGACAUCACUCGCAGAAGAAGCACCGGCUAACUCCGUGCCAGCAGCCGCGGUAAUACGGAGGGUGCAAGCGUUAAUCGGAAUUACUGGGCGUAAAGCGCGCGUAGGUGGCUUGAUAAGCCGGUUGUGAAAGCCCCGGGCUCAACCUGGGAACGGCAUCCGGAACUGU
rnacentral:rRNA from 1 species